GGGCGCAUAGCGCAGUGGUAGCGCGUCCGCUUUGCAAGCGGAAGCCCUCGGGUUCAAUCCCCGGUGUGUCCA
rnacentral:tRNA from 1 species